GCCGUUUCCCCUAUUUAUUUACACCAGUGGUUCUUACCUUUUUGGACUCUAUUUAGAAAAAUAAUAGAGCAGCUCUUCUCUUGCAGAGGACUCAAAAAUACCACAACAGAUGAACAAAAUGAAACGAAGAGAUAGGAUGAGGGAUGACUUACCUAAGACACAGGCACCGCCUGGCCAGACAGAUGUGGGGAGGAAGCUUGCACAUGCUGCCAACAUCUACCACCCCACACUGCCAACACUCCGCAUCUGGUCACGUGCCACCCCCUCCCCCCCACUCCGUGCCCAGUCGCCGGGGGUACACUUGUUUACAAAAGGUUGAAAACGCCUGAUCUAAGAUAUCACACUGAAGUAAUGGCAGAACAGCAGACAAUGGGAGGGUGGUUUGGUGUAUUGGCCACUCUUCUGGGAAUUGAGAGACCUUUUUUUUUUUUU